AUUACAUUUGGACUGUCAGUCUACUGAGCAAUUUCACCCACUCAGUGGAGGAUCUACCCUUUAUUAU
rfam:Bombyx mori DNA, contig: Bm_scaf91_contig34589, strain: p50T/Dazao, build 2, whole genome shotgun sequence.